UUCCUGCCCUACCCACCACGGCCCUGCCAACAGGACCAGGCUAACUCUAAUUCCACAACCCAAGACCCUACCCAAAGGGUGGUGCUGAUGCUGCGAGAACGCUGGCAUUUCUGCCGUGAUGGCAGGGUGCUGCUGGGCUCUCGGGCUCUGAGGGAGCGGCACCUGGGCCUAAUGGGCUACCAACUCCUGCCGGUGAGAAAUUCUGUCCCACCCUUUGCAUGUGUGUUCUUAUAAACAACCCACUGCAGCCUGUCUUCUCCCCACAGCUGCCAUUUGAAGAACUGGAAUCUCAGAGAGGCCUGCCCCAGCUCAAGAGCUACCUGAGGCAGAAGCUUCAGGCCUUAGGUCUUCGCUGGGGACCUGAGGGUGGGUGAGGGAGUACACACAGUACACAUGGGGCACAGGAUGGAUCCCCUAUGGGGAGGAGGGUGGACAGUUUGCACUUUGGCUCCCUGUUAUUUUUUUCAUUAAAAUCCCUUUCCUUCCUG
rnacentral:lncRNA from 1 species